AUAUACAAAUACAAUAUAUUUGUAUAUACUACAUAUAUAUCUUACUGUUAAUUAACUUUCAAGGGAUUUUCCAUAAUUUAGAAAAGUUUUAAACAAAUGGAUUAUUUAACAAAAAUUGGCUAUGUGACCCUGCUAUAAGGUGUUUAAGACACCAAAAGCUUAAACUUCUUAGAUCAAAGGGCACCCUCCAGGCCAAUAUGUUUCCACUGGAAUGGUUUCUUUGCUUCCUGAUUAAAAGCUUCUCUAAUAUAUUUCCGUGUGCUAUUACAUAUUUGCAUAUUCACUUUGAUGGAAAUCAAGAAUAGUAGCCAAAUACAUAUUUCAUGCAUUCUUUUGAUUAAAAAUGAUAAAGGUAAUAUUAGUGUUUUUUUUCAUUCUCAUCUCCAAUUUAUGAAGUAGAAGUAAUUAUCCGUGGAACAGCCAACUAAAGAAAGGAAAUAAGAGUAAUUCAGAUUAUACCAUUGUUCCAUUUAUUCUUGUACCCUGUUUAUGACAGAAUACCUGAUGUUUGGGGUAUAACAAAAACAGAUGUUUAGAAUCACAGAGUUUAAGAAUGUAAAAGACUUUUGAAAUCGGCUAUUCUAACUCCCUAAUUUUUAAAAUAGACCAAAAAAGGUCUCUGGAAGGAUAAAUAGCCUAACCCCAAGGUCAUGCAUUGAGAACAACCCCAAUAUAAGAUUAAAAUUUUUUAACCCUAUUUUAUUUUUCUAUUUAAUCAACUACCUGGACAGUCAAGAUAAAUGCCACUUAUUUUACCUGUUACUAUAAAUGACUCAUAACCCUUGACAAAUCUAUAGGUAUUCAUUUCUGAAGGUAAAAAAAAAAAGUCAUAGUUUUUUUACAUGGUCAUUUUCUGUUUAACCUUAGUUAGACAUUGAAUGGACUUGAUAUAUCCUGCAGAAGAGGCCCAAUACUUAAAGACCAAUCUCCACAUUAGCUGACUAAUUUCUGCAGUUCUAGAUAGACUGUCAACUGGGAAAUUUUUUAAACAUUCAGAAUUACUAAGUGUUCAUUUUUAAAAAAUAAUUUCUUCUAGUUAUCUUAACAAUAUCUGUUACAACUGCACAGAAAAUCAUAUUUGCAUAUACGUAAGGGAAAGAGGAGAUAGUGAAGACAGACGAUAUAGAUAAAUAGGGGCAGUGAUGGAUGUCAUUCAAAUGAUGCCUAGCUGGUGUUCCCUGUGGAGUGGUAACAAAGGAAAACUACAUUCUGAGCUCAGAAUGUCAACAAAAUAACAGUUUUUUAAGGAAACUUCUAAUGAGGAUGGGACACAUGUGGUCCAGGGCUCUGUAACAGAUUCACAUUAGCUAUACUUUCUCUGCCUGCCACAAAUAUUUAAAUAGUUGUUCAAAAAAUAAAUAAAGAAUGAGUGAACCAGCAAAGUGUGUGGCAGCUGGAAAAUUUGUUUUACCUUCUCCUCAGACUUCCCAGAGGUCAUCAGAAAACUAGGGAGCAACAUCUGAUUAUGCCAACUCUUCCUACUCUGAAAACAGAUUUAGAUGGGUUUAUAAAAACUAGAUUUGUGUGUGUGUGUGUGUGUGUGUGUGUGUGUGUUGUGUGUGUUUAUGGUAGGUGUGUAUAUAUACAUAUAUAUACAUAUAUAUCCUAUCUCUAAUGCUUUAAGCAGGAAGAGAGAUGUAUUAUUUCCAUAUACAAUAUUGAGAGUAACUAAACUGAAUAUAUACACCUGUAUACUAUGUAAUUAAUUACUAGUAAGUAUGUGCCCCAUGUAAAAAUCUGUUUCCAAGUGAGUAAAGGACCUACUUCUUUAAAAAGAAUGAGCCCUAUUUCUUUAAAAAGAAAUAUGUAAAAAUCUACGUUAAAAGAAUGCCUCAAACAUAUUAGGUCUAACUUAAGCUAUGUGAAUAAGUAUUCUCUUGGCCAAAGAGCUAACUCAAAAAUUACACUAAGUAAUCAAUACAAAAAUUUUAAAACUAAAGCUUCCCAAAUUAAAAAGAAAAAAAGACACUGUAUCUUUAUCUUGCUUAGUUAAAACCAUAAUGUAAUUCAUUUUCUUUAAUUUAAAAAAUGCUCUUAAUUAAAACUUUGCUUAGUAAAAAAAUAAAAUGACAUAUUUAUAUGUCUGAUCUGCCAUAGAGGUUACUUUUGAUUACUCUCCUAAUGAUACAUUUAUAUAAUUAAUGGCAACUGUUCUCAACACUGAGACAUGCUUUAGCAAUUAUAAUUGUUUAACUGAUAAAAUCACAUUUGUGCUUUUGUUUUUAACUCUAAAUGAUAUCUGAAUGUCGUUUUAAUAGAUAAAUAGCUCUUUGCAUAGAAAUAAAAAUAGUAGACCGAAAAUGGAUAUGGUAAUACAAAGCUGUCUUUAAUAAAUCUGAUUACUGAUAGAAAUGAAAUACAUAUUUGUGACCUGGAAAAUGAACAUUAUUUUAAAGUGUUCUGGUGAUGAGUCUUUAUCGAUAAAAUAUGGCUCCCAAAUCCCCAAAGAUACGAAAAACGAACAUCAAAAAAUACAUUAAUGUUCCUAGUUGCUAGAUAAGUAUUUUAACAUUUCCAAAUACAACUGGCAUCAAUUUUUACAUUCUGUAUUUAUGGUUAAGAAUUAGAAUAUAGUUGGUAGGUUUUAACUGGUUUUGUGUGAUUAUUUUUCUUUUUGAACAGCAAUCUAAAGUGUAAAGGAUUUUAGGAUCUAAGUAAUCAUAUCAGUGAAUCCAAAGAUUAAUUCUGCUGGUUUUUAUUAUUAUAUUCAACAUAUUUUAUCUUUCUUUACUUCAUCCCUUUUGUCUACCAAAAUAUUUUAUUAAUGACAUAAUUUUGAUAGAAGUAAUAAUUAACUUUUAAAUUUUUUAUGGUGAUAUAAUCACCUUGAAAAUUGGAAAAAGUUUUAGAGCUCCUAAGUUUUAAUGUCACUUAUAUAUUAAAAUAUUAAAUACAUUAAUAUUAUCUAAAUUAAAAAGUUUGUGGAUCACUAAAUAAAGAAAAAAAUAUUUAUUUCCUUUUAAAAAUAUGUAUUUUUAAAAAAUGUAUCUUUUGUCAUAUAAAUCAGAGUUGACAAAUAAUACUCAUGAAUCAAAGUUUACAAAUACAAAUUCAAGAGAAAAAAUAAAAAUACAGAGUGGAUAAAAUACAAAUGGCUUGCAAAUUUCAUCUCUUGUACCUCAUAAUGAGGAAAAAUUACCUUCAGUUUUGUUCUCCAAAUAGCUUGCUCUGUGACAAAAUUGUAAGAUUUCUUAAAUUAAAAUCUAAUAGAAGCCAAUUCUUCGAUAUAGUCCUUAGGUAACAUUAGUUAAAACUGCUACAAGGAAAGAAAAUUUUGGUUUUGCAAUGGCUCCAAGAAACAUCAAUUAUAGGAAUAGUCCCUGUAUAUUAGACCCUAUAUUCUGUGAAGGUGUCCCAGGAUUAUAUUGCAACCUGAAGUCAGGAAUGGACUUAGGAAAGGAAAGAGUCAACAAGUGCCAGAGAUGUGAUGCAAUAAGACCCUCAGUUGCCCUCCUAAAACCUCAGCUCUGUACAUUCACAUAGCACCCUUCCAUAAAAAAUUCAGGUUUAUAGUCCAUCUCCAUUUAAGUGCUAUAUUUUUGCAAAGUGGGGAUAUAAGUUUGACACCACUCUUGCUGAAGAGUGGCACAAUAUGUCACAUUCAGAGUUCUCUAACAUUAGAAAUUUAGUCAAUGGAAACU